AUGCACGCUGGCGGCGUGCCUAAUACAUGCAAGUCGCGCGAACAGACGAGGAGCUUGCUCCUCUGACGUUAGCGGCGGACGGGUGAGUAACACGUGGAUAACCUACCUAUAAGACUGGGAUAACUUCGGGAAACCGGAGCUAAUACCGGAUAAUAUAUUGAACCGCAUGGUUCAAUAGUGAAAGACGGUUUUGCUGUCACUUAUAGAUGGAUCCGCGCCGCAUUAGCUAGUUGGUAAGGUAACGGCUUACCAAGGCAACGAUGCGUAGCCGACCUGAGAGGGUGAUCGGCCACACUGGAACUGAGACACGGUCCAGACUCCUACGGGAGGCAGCAGUAGGGAAUCUUCCGCAAUGGGCGAAAGCCUGACGGAGCAACGCCGCGUGAGUGAUGAAGGUCUUCGGAUCGUAAAACUCUGUUAUUAGGGAAGAACAAACGUGUAAGUAACUAUGCACGUCUUGACGGUACCUAAUCAGAAAGCCACGGCUAACUACGUG
rnacentral:rRNA from 1 species